AGUGAACGCUGGCGGCAGGCCUAAUACAUGCAAGUCGAACGGCAGCACAGCAGAGCUUGCUCUGUGGGUGGCGAGUGGCGGACGGGUGAGGAAUACGUGGGAAUCUGCCCAGUCGUGGGGGAUAACGUAGGGAAACUUACGCUAAUACCGCAUGCGCCCUUCGGGGGAAAGCCGGGGACCUUCGGGCCUGGCGCGAUUGGAUGAGCCCACGUCGGAUUAGCUAGUUGGCGGGGUAAAGGCCCACCAAGGCGACGAUCCGUAGCUGGUCUGAGAGGAUGAUCAGCCACACUGGAACUGAGACACGGUCCAGACUCCUACGGGAGGCAGCAGUAGGGAAUAUUGGACAAUGGGCGCAAGCCUGAUCCAGCCAUGCCGCGUGAGUGAAGAAGGCCCUCGGGUUGUAAAGCUCUUUUGUCCGGAAAGAAAAGCGCCGGGUUAAUACCCUGGUGUCCUGACGGUACCGGAAGAAUAAGCACCGGCUAACUUCGUGCCAGCAGCCGCGGU
rnacentral:rRNA from 1 species